AUGAACGCUAGCGACAGGCCUAACACAUGCAAGUCAGGGGCAGCACAAGGAGCAAGUCUGAAGGUGGCGACCGGCGCACGGGUGAGUAACACGUAUGCAACCUGCCUGUAAGCGGGAAUAACCCGUGAAAGACGGACUAAUACCGCAUAAUACUAAAUUACUGCAUGGUAAUUAUUUAAACAUUUAUGGCUUACAGAUGGGCAUGCGCAUGAUUAGCUAGUUGGAGAGGUAACGGCUCCCCAAGGCAACGAUCAUUAGGGGUUCUGAGAGGAAGGUCCCCCACACUGGUACUGAGACACGGACCAGACUCCUACGGGAGGCAGCAGUGAGGAAUAUUGGUCAAUGGACGAGAGUCUGAACCAGCCAAGUCGCGUGCAGGAAGAAUGUUCCCUAUGGAUUGUAAACUGCUUUUGCAGGGGAAUAAAGUGCAUCACGUGUGAUGUUUUGUAUGUACUCUGCGAAUAAGGAUCGGCUAACUCCGUGCCAGCCGCCGC
rnacentral:rRNA from 1 species